UACGUAGGGCGCAAGCGUUAUCCGGAAUUAUUGGGCGUAAAGAGCUCGUAGGCGGUUUGUCGCGUCUGCUGUGAAAACUCGAGGCUCAACCUCCAGCCUGCAGUGGGUACGGGCAGACUAGAGUGCGGUAGGGGAGAUUGGAAUUCCUGGUGUAGCGGUGGAAUGCGCAGAUAUCAGGAGGAACACCAAUGGCGAAGGCAGAUCUCUGGGCAGUAACUGACGCUGAGGAGCGAAAGCAUGGGGAGCGAACAGG
rnacentral:rRNA from 1 species